rnacentral:rRNA from 1 species
GGAGGGUGCAAGCGUUAUCCGGAUUUAUUGGGUUUAAAGGGUCCGUAGGCGGAUCUGUAAGUCAGCGGUGAAAUCUCACAGCUUAACUGUGAAACUGCCAUUGAUACUGCAGGUCUUGAGUGUUGUUGAAGUAGCUGGAAUAAGUAGUGUAGCGGUGAAAUGCAUAGAUAUUACUUGGAACACCAAUUGCGAAGGCAGGUUACUAAGCAACAACUGACGCUGAUGGACGAAAGCGUGGGGAGCGAACAGGAUUAGAUACCCUGGUAGUCCACGCCGUAAACGAUGCUAACUCGUUUUUGGGGCUUCGGCUUCAGAGACUAAGCGAAAGUGAUAAGUUAGCCACCUGGGGAGUACGAACGCAAGUUUGAAACUCAAAGGAAUUGACGGGGGCCCGCACAAGCGGUGGAUUAUGUGGUUUAAUUCGAUGAUACGCGAGGAACCUUACCAAGGCUUAAAUGGGAAAUGACAGGUUUAGAAAUAGACUUUUCUUCGGACAUUUUUCAAGGUGC